rnacentral:lncRNA from 1 species
GGGGGCAAAAUCCAAACGGCUUCUAUUCAAUACCCCUGACAUUGCACAAAAUAACGAAAACGGGACGACCGUACACAAUGGGGUUCGGUGCAGUAAUUUUUUCCUAAUGGCUGGGGAGCAAGUUGGAGAUAGAAACGAACGAAGAAGGUCGUUUUCGUAAUAAUUGGACUGAUGGAUGACCAUCUUCGUAUCGGUCUCUUCUCGCGAUCCGAGCGAUGGAUAUCUCCGGUUUACUUUGGAGGGUUUUUUGACCACCGUAAAAUCCAGCUUAAACAUCUGGGCUAGACGUUCCAGGGAAUUACGAAAGUGGCCCUAUUUGAAUUUCCCGCUAAGAUACCGAAUCUUUUUAAAUUUUGGAAGAUUCCGCACGGGUCGGAAUUAUGCGCCC